ACACUGGGACACUAUGAUGAGGCUAGGUGAGUGCACACUGGGACACUAUGAUGCGACCAGGUGAAUGCACACUGGGACAAUAUGAUGAGGCCAGGUGAGUGCACACUGGUGCACUAUGAUGAGGCUAGGUGAGUGCACACUCUGGCAGUAUGAUGAGGCUAGGUGAGUGCACACUGGGGCACUAUGAUGAGGCUAGCUGAGCUGACACUGGGACACUAUGAUGAGGCUAGGUUAGCGCAUAGUGGGACACUAGGAUGAGUCCGCGUGAGUGCACACUGGGACACUAUGAUGGGGCCAGGUGAGCGCACACUGGGACACUAUGAAGAGACUAGGUGAGUGCACACUGGGGCACUGUGAUGAGGCUAGCUGAGCGCACACUGGGGCACUAUGAUGAGGCUAGGUUAGUGCACACUGGGACACUAUGAUGAGGCUAGGUGAGCGCACACUGCGACACUAUGAUGAGGCCGGGUGAGCACACACUGGGACACUAUGAUGAGGCUAAGUGAGUUCACACUGGGACACUAUGAUGAGGCCAGGUGAGUGCACACUGGG
rnacentral:lncRNA from 1 species